AUGAGGGUGAUUCGUGAGCGAAGUGUCUUGAGACUCAUGCCUUCACAGUGAGGACAGUCUGUCUCCAUGGGAGCUGACUCUGCGUGGGCACAGCCCAGACAGUAAACGCAGCUCUCAUGCUGAUCUGACGGCGGGAUGUGCCUCUCACACAAGGAACACUUACGGAACAACAUCUUUAAAAAGACACAAACAUGAUACACAAACCCUGCCGAAGCGCUGCGAGGAAUCAGGAUGCUGAGGCCCGUUCACCAGCAAAGCGUCAAUCGGCGAGGUGGUGUGAUGUUCGCCGGAGCACUGCUGGGGAGCGGAAAGUCUUCCCCUGAAGAUUCUGCCCGCUGACUCAUGUAUAUCGACGAUGAAGGAGCUGAGUGCCCCAGUGCAGUGGGCUAGACGUUCCCCGCUAAAUGGUUGUGGUUCCCCUGUCAUGUGCUUAGUGCUGUGUACUCACAACUAAUUCACCUGUGUGCUUUGUGUAAGUGAGCAUACACCUGUGGGUGAAGUCUCUUUUUAUUGGGGGAUCGCUGCGCUUGGCUAGCCUACCUGAUUCUGGUAAGCCUCAGCCCUCUGUGUUGCACAAGCAAAGAUAUGCUUGUUUUGUCUGUCUUUUGAGUGUGAAGCCUAUUGCGAACCAUCCAGCAGAUUGCCUGUGCUCAUAAUUUUAAUACACUUUUAAAUAACUGAGUGUCCAGUGCCCUUCAUAUAUAUGUAUCUUAAAAUAAAGAAUUAUUUUUGUACUUUGGUAUCCACGUCUCUAGCCCUUUUGUUUUGGAACAACAAACCUGUGUGCCCUUUCUAUUUUUAAUUGGGUUAGUAUUUCCCUGUUAACAACAGGGUGGCGUAGUCAACUUUUCUAUUGGUUUUCCCUCAAAUAUUAGCAUUAGCAGGAUUCUCCCCCAUCUGCUUGUGCUACAGUUCUAUCCUCUAGUCCCAUCACUCUGCUACAGUUCCAUGGAUCUUUAGUUUGAGAAACAUUGUUUCAGUCACUGCUG